rnacentral:rRNA from 1 species
CAUGCAAGUCGAGCGGAAACGAGUUAUCUGAACCUUCGGGGAACGAUAACGGCGUCGAGCGGCGGACGGGUGAGUAAUGCCUAGGAAAUUGCCCUGAUGUGGGGGAUAACCAUUGGAAACGAUGGCUAAUACCGCAUAAUGCCUACGGGCCAAAGAGGGGGACCUUCGGGCCUCUCGCGUCAGGAUAUGCCUAGGUGGGAUUAGCUAGUUGGUGAGGUAAUGGCUCACCAAGGCGACGAUCCCUAGCUGGUCUGAGAGGAUGAUCAGCCACACUGGAACUGAGACACGGUCCAGACUCCUACGGGAGGCAGCAGUGGGGAAUAUUGCACAAUGGGCGCAAGCCUGAUGCAGCCAUGCCGCGUGUGUGAAGAAGGCCUUCGGGUUGUAAAGCACUUUCAGUCGUGAGGAAGGUNGUGUAGUUAAUAGCUGCAUUAUUUGACGUUAGCGACAGAAGAAGCACCGGCUAACUCCGUGCCAGCAGCCGCGGUAAUACGGAGGGUGCGAGGUUAAUCGGAAUUACUGGGCGUAAAGCGCAUGCAGGUGGUUUGUUAAGUCAGAUGUGAAAGCCCGGGGCUCAACCUCGGAAUAGCAUUUGAAACUGGCAGACUAGAGUACUGUAGAGGGGGGUAGAAUUUCAGGUGUAGCGGUGAAAUGCGUAGAGAUCUGAAGGAAUACCGGUGGCGAAGGCGGCCCCCUGGACAGAUACUGACACUCAGAUGCGAAAGCGUGGGGAGCAAACAGGAUUAGAUACCCUGGUAGUCCACGCCGUAAACGAUGUCUACUUGGAGGUUGUGGCCUUGAGCCGUGGCUUUCGGAGCUAACGCGUUAAGUAGACCGCCUGGGGAGUACGGUCGCAAGAUUAAAACUCAAAUGAAUUGACGGGGGCCCGCACAAGCGGUGGAGCAUGUGGUUUAAUUCGAUGCAACGCGAAGAACCUUACCUACUCUUGACAUCCAGAGAACUUUCCAGAGAUGGAUUGGUGCCUUCGGGAACUCUGAGACAGGUGCUGCAUGGCUGUCGUCAGCUCGUGUUGUGAAAUGUUGGGUUAAGUCCCGCAACGAGCGCAACCCUUAUCCUUGUUUGCCAGCGAGUAAUGUCGGGAACUCCAGGGAGACUGCCGGUGAUAAACCGGAGGAAGGUGGGGACGACGUCAAGUCAUCAUGGCCCUUACGAGUAGGGCUACACACGUGCUACAAUGGCGCAUACAGAGGGCAGCAAGCUAGCGAUAGUGAGCGAAUCCCAAAAAGUGCGUCGUAGUCCGGAUUGGAGUCUGCAACU